CAGUCGCCGCGGUAAUACGAAGGGGGCUAGCGUUGCUCGGAAUCACUGGGCGUAAAGGGCGCGUAGGCGGUUUGGCAAGUUUGGUGUGAAAUCUUCGGGCUCAACUCGAAGUCUGCAUCGAAAACUGCCGGGCUUGAGUAUGGGAGAGGUGAGUGGAAUUUCCGGUGUAGCGGUAAAAUGCGUAGAUAUCGGAAGGAACACCUGAGGCGAAAGCAGCUCACUGGACCAUUACUGACGCUGAGGCGCGAAAGCUAGGGGAGCAAACAGGAUUAGAUACCCGAGUAGUCCCUGUCUCUUAUAA
rnacentral:rRNA from 1 species